GAUUAAAUAUCUAAUAAAUAGUUAUAAUAGCGAAUUCACAAAAAUAGUUCCAAAAAAUCUUUAUAAAAAUUAAUGGUUUCUACCAAGGAAAUCCUGUGGAAAACGGUUUCACUAUUCUUCUUCUUUUCUGAAGACUUGCGCAAACAGUUUCACAAUCUGAUCGUCUAAACAAUCUCAUUCUCCAUCUUUUUGUACUCCACUAUUUUUCUUCAUCUUCUUUCUACACCAAGCAGAAACUCUCAGGUAAAAUUGUUGCGGGUGGCGUCUUUCGUGACAAGUGGUGUUGGGUUAGGAGAUGCUUUCACUUUAAAGGAGGGAUUGGCUUUUCUUUUGAAGUCGAGCUUCUCACCAUCAUUAAUUACCCAUGCUCAAGGAUGGCUUCACUUGUGGAUUGAGUCAGAGUCCGCAUAUAUUGUCCGUUUGUUGACCUCUAGGUCUCCCAUGGUCCUAUGGAGGUUCGUCGUUUCUUGAAAAAACACCCUUAAUCUGCUUUCUGAUUUUCAUCUUCAAGUUAGCCAUAUUUUUUGCAAAGGAAAUAAAGCUGCAGAUAUCAUGGAAAACAAUAAUAUGCAAGAGAGCUGGUGGGCUCGUGAAAUUGAUGUUAUAAAAACUGCCGUUCGCAUGGAUAUUUUGACUCACAGUCAUAUUCGUAAAGUGGUGUAAUUCUUGAUGGUUCUAAGCGGAUCGCAUUUCUUCUUUCUCCUGGCGGAUUCGGCUCUGUUGCUAAUUCGUGGUUCUUUCUUCUCCAUCUUGUCCAGUAGGACAAUUUGGUCUGGAGCUUCUUGCAUUCUGAUAUUGCCCCUCCUUGUUUCGAGAUGCAGGUCAGCGCCAUUUUCCUUGAAUGAUAGCGAGCUUUGGGUCUGGAUUUUGGUUGAAUAGGUAGCGGGCAUCUUUGGUUGCUUGCUGUCGUGUGGUAGAUUUCUCUUCUGGGGACGUUACCAUAGGUUUUGCUUGGGGUUCUUGCUUUGGGGAGCGAGAUUCUCCUAUUUUGAUCUUCGAGGUUUGCGAAUUUACUCUUUUGGCUCGUCACUUUGCUUGUCUUUGGAAGUUGGGCAACUUCGUCUUGUUGUAUUAGUUGCUUGCCUUUAUUUAUUUAUUUAUUAUUGGUGGUUUUGUGCACGGACCUUUUUUUAGCGUCUUGGUGCGCUAAGUGCUAGGGUCGGUUGGGCUGAGUUCGUGCUUGUUGCAGCUCUCCUGCGGGUUGCCCCUCUAACCUUUUUUCUAAGUCUCGGUAAGCUGAGCUCUAGGGUCGAGGGGGUUCAUCGCCUUCUUUUUUGCUCGUCACUGCAAUCUUAGUAAAGCCAAAAUCAGGGUGAUGGUUACUCCGAAGCGCUAGUUUGAGUUUUGCCUUUGUUGUAGUCAGGUUUUUUGGCGAUGGUAAGCUUCAUGUGAUGGUUAGUCCGAACUCAUUAUUGCUUGUGUUUCUUUAAUUUGUGUUGUUAUUUACUUUUCUUACACGUACUAUUUUUCCUCUUCUUGAGGUUUUAACGACGCCCGACCCUUAGUCUGC